rnacentral:rRNA from 1 species
GACGAACGCUGGCGGCGUGCUUAACGCAUGCAAGUCGAACGGAAAGGCCCUGCUUUUGUGGGGUGCUCGAGUGGCGAACGGGUGAGUAACACGUGAGUAACCUGCCCUUGACUUUGGGAUAACUUCAGGAAACUGGGGCUAAUACCGGAUAGGAGCUCCUGCUGCAUGGUGGGGGUUGGAAAGUUUCGGCGGUUGGGGAUGGACUCGCGGCUUAUCAGCUUGUUGGUGGGGUAGUGGCUUACCAAGGCUUUGACGGGUAGCCGGCCUGAGAGGGUGACCGGCCACAAUGGGACUGAGAUACGGCCCAGACUCCUACGGGAGGCAGCAGUGGGGAAUAUUGCACAAUGGGCGGAAGCCUGAUGCAGCAACGCCGCGUGCGGGAUGACGGCCUUCGGGUUGUAAACCGCUUUCGCCUGUGACGAAGCGUGAGUGACGGUAAUGGGUAAAGAAGCACCGGCUAACUACGUG